rnacentral:lncRNA from 1 species
CAUUAUUGAGAGCCAAAAUAUCAUCCAAAUAUCUAAAAGUAUUAUUAAAUUUGUUUAUCAGAUGUUGUUUCGAUGGGUCUUUGCUUAUUUUUGUCAUAAAUUGUAACUCAUAACAAUACAAAAACAGGUCCGCAAUAAGUGGUGCACAGUUAGUCCCCAUUGGAAUUCCGAUAAUCUGACGAUAUAUGGAAUCCCCAAAGCGAAC